CUUGACCGAGCCGAGCAGCACCGGACGGUCUUGCGACCGGCCCUGUCCAUAGGUGGCCAGCAACGCCUGCGCCUC
rnacentral:antisense_RNA from 1 species